UCCAUCUCUCUCUUGGAUUCCUGCCACAGC
rnacentral:piRNA from 1 species